AAUCAUAAAAGAAAAGUUAUUAUUGAAUAGCUUAUUUUGACAUCCAAACAGUCUCUCGAAAGGAGAAAAUAUUAUAGAUCUUGAAAAUUAGAGUCCGGCUGCUAUGCUAUCGAUAGCACCAAGCACUUGGUGCUAUCAAAUUUUCUACCGUUAGAUUAACCCCUUUGAUUAUUUUUACUUGUUAGAUUAUACUAUUCAACCAACCACCCACUCAACCCUAGAGGGCCCACAUCAUCUUAGCCGCACAUUUCUCAAUUCAAGGGCUGAAAAUCUAAUAACACUAAUUGCUUGGUGUUAUUGAUAGUAUUCCAGCUUAGUUC
rnacentral:lncRNA from 1 species